rnacentral:rRNA from 1 species
GAUGAACGCUGGCGGCGUGCCUAAUACAUGCAAGUCGAGCGAACGGACGAGAAGCUUGCUUUUCUGAUGUUAGCGGCGGACGGGUGAGUAACACGUGGAUAACCUACCUAUAAGACUGGGAUAACUUCGGGAAACCGGAGCUAAUACCGGAUAAUAUUUUGAACCGCAUGGUUCAAAAGUGAAAGACGGUCUUGCUGUCACUUAUAGAUGGAUCCGCGCUGCAUUAGCUAGUUGGUAAGGUAACGGCUUACCAAGGCAACGAUGCAUAGCCGACCUGAGAGGGUGAUCGGCCACACUGGAACUGAGACACGGUCCAGACUCCUACGGGAGGCAGCAGUAGGGAAUCUUCCGCAAUGGGCGAAAGCCUGACGGAGCAACGCCGCGUGAGUGAUGAAGGUCUUCGGAUCGUAAAACUCUGUUAUUAGGGAAGAACAUAUGUGUAAGUAACUGUGCACAUCUUGACGGUACCUAAUCAGAAAGCCACGGCUAACUACGCG